CAGCGCCACGAGUGGGAACUGUAAUUAUUGGGCCUAAAGCGUCCGUAGCCGGUUUAAUAAAUUUUUUGUGAAAUUGUUGUGCUUAACUCAACAACGUGCAGAAAAGACUGUUAAACUUGGGACUGGGAGGGGUUAGAAGUAUCUCUAGGGUAGCGGUAAAAUGUUAUAAUCCUUGAGAGACUACCUGUGGCGAAAGCGUCUAACCAGAACAGGUCCGACGGUGAGGGACGAAAGCUAGGGGAGCAAACCGGAUUAGAUACCCGAGUAGUCC
rnacentral:rRNA from 1 species